rnacentral:lncRNA from 1 species
AAUACUGAGGCCCUAAACACUGACAAGAGUUAGUGUCCUCUGCCAUAUGGAAAAUAACUAUUUAACAUGUCCAACAAAACUCCAGUUUUCUAUAUGAGAGCUCCUUUCAUUAAAAAAAAAAAAAUCAAAUAGCAAAGCCUUAAUUUUUGGGAGGUGAGAGGUGGGUAGUGCCUUGUCUCCCUGAUGCCCUGGGUAUGUGUUUAUUCUGCCUUUUAGGUGACCCCAUAGGUUCUCUUUCUGGAAAGGAUUUGUGUAACAGGCUGGUACAUGGAUGCCUAUUCCACCCAAGGACCACGAGAAGAGCCAGCAGAACGGCUGAUCAAAGCUCAAGAGCAUGGCUGUUUUCCUCAGAGCUUCAGGCAGCUGCUUCUCCCCUCCUGGGGGCUCCAGUGGCGAUGGAGAUGGGUCCUCAGGUUAAGAGCAGAGACUGCAUUGAUCCCUUAAACCUGCCUUUCAGCUUCAAACCUUCGGAAGUGUUCUCCGAAGCCUCCAUAAAACCAAGGGAAACACAGAUAGUCAGAGACUGACGCCUGAACCUGCAGCUCAGCCCUGAGUCAAGCUGUCCUGACAUGGUGAGAUGUGGCCCCUUCCGAAGCAGUGGGCUAGGCAGAGCAUACCACGUGAUGGGCUUUCCCAGGCUAGAAGCGCGGCUCCGACUCCGUGGGUAAGUCCCUUAGCCUCUCUGUGCCUGUUUCUUUAUGCAUGAGUUGAGAUUGUGUGAUAGGUACAUCACGGGCCCCUGGUGACGCUGAAAUGAGAUAAUGUGUAUGAAGACUAUUUGGGUCUUAGUGGACCCCAUCCCUGUGGUCGACAGCACUUUUUGUUAGUUCUCCAUGGAAGGGGUGAGUGACAGUGAUCUGAAGAUGUGGUUGGGAGCUGGCUUGUGAAGAGAAUGGUCACCUGGGGGGCUGACCUGGAGCCAUCUCAGGGGAACCAGGUCAGCAGCCCCUCGGCCUUCUGGGAACAUCACUGAUGCUCUGUCCUUGGGAUGACUUGCCAUCAGAGGAGUGCCUGGGUCUGAUCAGGCCCUUCUUCCAAGGACACGGUGGCCCGAGCCAGACAGAGGGAACUUUGCUGAUUGUUGGGCUUGCAGAGGCUGUUUUAGGAGAGGAAUUAGGGCGACAGCAGGAGAUUUGGCCUGCAUUGAUCACCCAGGCGGGAGGAAACGAGACUUCCUCAUGGCCGAGGACUUGACCUUGGAGCCGGACGCAUCUGACGAUGCAUCCCGCCCAGCCACUUCGGAGAGUCUCUAACCCUGUCUUCCUCAGUUUCCUCCUCUGUAAGAUGGAACUGCUGACGGUAUUUACCUCCCACAACCGUUGGGAAGACCGAAAGGGAUAAGAGUGUGCAAAGAAACACUUCGCGUAAUGGAAACACCCAAUAUAUUUCUGAAAACAUUUUUUUCCCAAGUAUAAAAUAGGCAUAGGACUUAAAAGCUUCCAGCAGUAGAAAAGUUCUGCGCUGAAGAGCAACUCUCCCUCCCACUGACUCCUGGUCCCACAGGCUGGAUCCAGAGGAAACCGUGAU